GGACCCGUAGUUUAAUGGAUAGAAUAGCAGGUUUCGGCCCUGUUGAUCGAGGUUCGAUUCCUCGCGGGUUCA
rnacentral:tRNA from 1 species